rnacentral:rRNA from 1 species
UUAAGCAUAUCAAUAAGCGGAGGAAAAGAAACCAACAGGGAUUGCUCUAGUAACGGCGAGUGAAGCAGCAAUAGCUCAAAUUUGAAAUCUGGCGUCUUCGACGUCCGAGUUGUAAUUUGUAGAGGAUGCUUCUGAGUAACCACCGACCUAAGUUCCUUGGAACAGGACGUCAUAGAGGGUGAGAAUCCCGUAUGCGGUCGGAAAGGUGCUCUAUACGUAGCUCCUUCGACGAGUCGAGUUGUUUGGGAAUGCAGCUCUAAAUGGGAGGUAAAUUUCUUCUAAAGCUAAAUAUUGGCCAGAGACCGAUAGCGCACAAGUAGAGUGAUCGAAAGAUGAAAAGCACUUUGGAAAGAGAGUUAAAAAGCACGUGAAAUUGUUAAAAGGGAAGGGAUUGCAACCAGACUUGCUCGCGGUGUUCCGCCGGUCUUCUGACCGGUCUACUCGCCGCGUUGCAGGCCAGCAUCGUCUGGUGCCGCUGGAUAAGACUUGAGGAAUGUAGCUCCCUCGGGAGUGUUAUAGCCUCUUGUGAUGCAGCGAGCGCCGGGCGAGGUCCGCGCUUCGGCUAGGAUGCUGGCGUAAUGGUCGUAAUCCGCCCGUCUUGAAACACGGACCAAGGAGUCUAACAUCUAUGCGAGUGUUCGGGUGUCAAACCCCUACGCGUAAUGAAAGUGAACGGAGGUGAGAACCGCAAGGUGCAUCAUCGACCGAUCCUGAUGUCUUCGGAUGGAUUUGAGUAAGAGCAUAGCUGUUGGGACCCGAAAGAUGGUGAACUAUGCCUGAAUAGGGUGAAGCCAGAGGAAACUCUGGUGGAGGCUCGCAGCGGUUCUGACGUGCAAAUCGAUCGUCAAAUUUGGGUAUAGGGGCGAAAGACUAAUCGAACCAUCUAGUAGCUGGUUCCUGCCCGAAGUUUCCCCUC